AGGACGAACGCUGGCGGCGUGCUUAACACAUGCAAGUCGAACGGUGAAGGAGAGCUUGCUCUCUGGAUCAGUGGCGAACGGGUGAGUAACACGUGAGUAACCUGCCCUUGACUCUGGGAUAAGCGUUGGAAACGACGUCUAAUACCGGAUACGAGCUUCAGUCGCAUGGCUAGGAGCUGGAAAGAAUUUCGGUCAAGGAUGGACUCGCGGCCUAUCAGCUAGUUGGUGAGGUAAUGGCUCACCAAGGCGACGACGGGUA
rnacentral:rRNA from 1 species